GACAGAGGUGCCGAGCGUUAGGCGGAAUCACUGGGCUUAAAGCGUGUGUAGGCGGAUCGUUAAGUGCCUUGUGAAAUCCCACGGCUCAACCGUGGAACUGCUCGGCAUACUGGCGAUCUUGAGCCACUUAGGGGCUACCGGAACAAAUGGUGGAGCGGUGAAAUGCGUAGAUAUCAGGAGGAACACCGGUGGCGAAGGCGGAUCUCUGGGCCAUUACUGACGCUGAGGAGCGAAAGCGUGGGGAGCGAACAGG
rnacentral:rRNA from 1 species